rnacentral:rRNA from 1 species
CGCACGGGUGAGUAAUGUAUAGUUAACCUGCCCUCUAGAAAGGAAUAACAGUUGGAAACGACUGCUAAUGCCCUAUAUGCCUUUAAGACAUAAGUCUGCAAGGGAAACGCUUUAGUGCUAGAGGAUGGGACUGUAUGGUAUCAGCUAGUUGGUGAGGUAAAGGCUCACCAAGGCAAUGACGCCUAACUGGUUUGAGAGGAUGAUCAGUCACACUGGAACUGAGACACGGUCCAGACUCCUACGGGAGGCAGCAGUGGGGAAUAUUGCACAAUGGAGGAAACUCUGAUGCAGCAACGCCGCGUGGAGGAUGACACUUUUCGGAGCGUAAACUCCUUUUAU